CACAUGCAAGUCGAGCGGUUGACGGGAGCUUGCUCCCUGAUUCAGCGGCGGACGGGUGAGUAAUGCCUAGGAAUCUGCCUAUUAGUGGGGGACAACGUUUCGAAAGGAACGCUAAUACCGCAUACGUCCUACGGGAGAAAGCAGGGGACCUUCGGGCCUUGCGCUAAUAGAUGAGCCUAGGUCGGAUUAGCUAGUUGGUGGGGUAAAGGCUCACCAAGGCGACGAUCCGUAACUGGUCUGAGAGGAUGAUCAGUCACACUGGAACUGAGACACGGUCCAGACUCCUACGGGAGGCAGCAGUGGGGAAUAUUGGACAAUGGGCGAAAGCCUGAUCCAGCCAUGCCGCGUGUGUGAAGAAGGUCUUCGGAUUGUAAAGCACUUUAAGUUGGGAGGAAGGGUUGUAGAUUAAUACUCUGCAAUUUUUAACGUUACCGACAGAAUAAGCACCGGCUAACUCUGUGCCAGCAGCCGCGGUAAUACAGAGGGUGCAAGCGUUAAUCGGAAUUACUGGGCGUAAAGCGCGCGUAGGUGGU
rnacentral:rRNA from 1 species